rnacentral:rRNA from 1 species
ACCUGCCUCUCAGAGGGGGAUAACGUUUUGAAAAGAACGCUAAUACCGCAUAACAUAUCGGAACCGCAUGAUUCUGAUAUCAAAGGAGCAAUCCGCUGAGAGAUGGGCUCGCGUCCAAUUAGUUAGUUGGUGAGGUAACGGCUCACCAAGACUACGAUCGGUAGCCGGACUGAGAGGUUGAUCGGCCACAUUGGGACUGAGACACGGCCCAGACUCCUACGGGAGGCAGCAGUGGGGGAUAUUGCGCAAUGGGGGAAACCCUGACGCAGCAACGCCGCGUGAAGGAAGAAGGUCUUCGGAUUGUAAACUUCUUUUGUCAGGGACGAAGAAAGUGACGGUACCUGACGAAUAAGCUCCGGCUAACUACGUGCCAGCAGCCGCGGUAAUACGUAGGGAGCGAGCGUUGUCCGGAUUUACUGGGUGUAAAGGGUGCGUAGGCGGCCGAGCAAGUCAGUUGUGUAAACUAUGGGCUUAACCCAUAACGUGCAAUUGAAACUGUCCGGCUUGAGUGAAGUAGAGGUAGGCGGAAUUCCCGGUGUAGCGGUGAAAUGCGUAGAGAUCGGGAGGAACACCAGUGGCGAAGGCGGCCUACUGGGCUUUAACUGACGCUGAGGCACGAAAGCAUGGGUAGCAAACAGGAUUAGAUACCCUGGUAGUCCAUGCCGUAAACGAUGAUUACUAGGUGUGGGGGGACUGACCCCUUCCGUGCCGCAGUUAACACAAUAAGUAAUCCACCUGGGGAGUACGGCCGCAAGGUUGCAACU